UACGGGGGGGGCAAGCGUUGUUCGGAAUUACUGGGCGUAAAGGGCUCGUAGGCGGCCAACUAAGUCAGACGUGAAAUCCCUCGGCUUAACCGGGGAACUGCGUCUGAUACUGGAUGGCUUGGGUUCGGGAGAGGGAUGUGGAAUUCCAGGUGUAGCGGUGAAAUGCGUAGAUAUCUGGAGGAACACCGGUGGCGAAGGCGGCAUCCUGGACCGACACUGACGCUGAGGCACGAAGGCCAGGGGAGCAAACGGG
rnacentral:rRNA from 1 species